GACUGUAUAGCUCAAGUGGCAGAGCACAUGGCUAACAUGCAUGAGGUCCUGGGUUCAAUCCCCAGUACCUCCU
rfam:Camelus ferus unplaced genomic scaffold scaffold743, whole genome shotgun sequence.